UGAAUACGAGAUGCUACGGCGUCGAAGCAGUGUAUGUCAGACUUCCAAGAAAAGCUCGCAAUGUCAUAAAUAAAGAAUGCCUGUACCAUAACCGACACAGGUGGGUAGGUAGAGUAUACUAAGGGGCGCGAGAUAACUCUCUCUAAGGAACUCGGCAAAAUAACUCCGUAACUUCGGGAGAAGGAGUGCCUUCUUUAAGAAGGUUGCAAUAACAAGAUCCAAGCAACUGUUUAUCAAAAACACAGGUCUCCGCUAAGUCGUAAGACGAUGUAUGGGGGCUGACGCCUGCCCAGUGCCAGAAGGUUAAAGAAGCUGGUUAGCAAUAGCGAAGCUGGUGACUGAAGCCCUGGUGAACGGCGGCCGUAACAAUAACGGUCCUAAGGUAGCGAAAUUCCUUGUCGGGUAAGUUCCGACCCGCACGAAAGGCGUAAUGAUUUGGAUACUGUCUCGGAGAGGGACUCGGUGAAAUAGACUUGUCUGUGAAGAUGCGGACUACCUGCACCAGGACAGAAAGACCCUAUGAAGCUUUACUGUAACCUGAAAUUGAAAUUGGACUUUAUUUGCGCAGUAUAGGUGGGAGGCGUUGAAAGUAAUCUUGCGGGAUUAGUGGAGCCAUCAGUGAGAUACCACUCCUAUAAUGUUAGAUUUCUAACUUUGGAUCAUGAUCUGGUCAAAGAACAGUUUCAGGCGGGCAGUUUGACUGGGGCGGUCGCCUCCCAAAUGGUAACGGAGGCGUACAAAGGUUUCCUCUGAACGGGUAGAAAUCGUAUCUAGAGUGUAAAGGCAUAAGGAAGCUUGACUGUGAGACCUACAAGUCGAGCAGGGACGAAAGUCGGUCUUAGUGAUCUGACGGUGCUGAGUGGAAAGGCCGUCACUCAACGGAUAAAAGUUACUCUAGGAUAACAGGCUGAUCUCCCCCAAGAGUUCACAUCGACGGGGAGGUUUGGCACCUCGAUGUCGGCUCAUCGCAUCCUGGGGCGGUAGUACGUCCCAAGGGUUGGGCUGUUCGCCCAUGAAAGCGGUACGCGAGCUGGGUUCAGAACGUCGUGAGACAGUUCGGUCCAUAUCCGGUGUAGGCGUUAGAAUAUUGAGAGGAGCCUUCUCUAGUACGAGAGGACCGAGAAGGACAUACCUCUGGUGUACCAGUUAUCGUGCCAACGGUAAACGCUGGGUAGCUAUGUAUGGAGAGGAUAACCGCUGAAAGCAUCUAAGUGGGAAGCCCACCUCAAGAUGAGUAUUCUCAUC
rnacentral:rRNA from 1 species